rnacentral:rRNA from 1 species
GACGAACGCUGGCGGCGUGCCUAGUACAUGCAAGUAGAACGCUGAAGGAGGAGCUUGCUCUUCUGGAUGAGUUGCGAACGGGUGAGUAACGCGUAGGUAACCUGCCUGGUAGCGGGGGAUAACUAUUGGAAACGAUAGCUAAUACCGCAUAAGAGUAGAUGUUGCAUGACAUUUGCUUAAAAGGUGCAAUUGCAUCACUACCAGAUGGACCUGCGUUGUAUUAGCUAGUUGGUGGGGUAACGGCUCACCAAGGCGACGAUACAUAGCCGACCUGAGAGGGGGAUCGGCCACACUGGGACUGAGACACGGCCCAGACUCCUACGGGAGGCAGCAGUAGGGAAUCUUCGGCAAUGGACGGAAGUCUGACCGAGCAACGCCGCGUGAGUGAAGAAGGUUUUCGGAUCGUAAAGCUCUGUUGUAAGAGAAGAACGAGUGUGAGAGUGGAAAGUUCACACUGUGACGGUAUCUUACCAGAAAGGGACGGCUAACUACGUG